CAAUAGCGUAUAUUAAAGUUGUUGCGGUUAAAAAGCUCGUAGUUGGAUUUCUGCCGAGGACGACCGGUCCGCCCUCUGGGUGUGUAUCUGGCUCGGCCUGGGCAUCUUCUUGGAGAACGUAUCUGCACUUGACUGUGUGGUGCGGUAUCCAGGACUUUUACUUUGAGGAAAUUAGAGUGUUUCAAGCAGGCGCACGCCUUGAAUACAUUAGCAUGGAAUAAUACUAUAGGAUCUUGGUCCUAUUUUGUUGGUUUCUAGGAUUGAGAUAAUGAUUAAUAGGGACAAUUGGGGGCAUUUGUACUGACAAGUCAGAGGUGGAAUUCUUGGAUUUUGUCAUGACAAACUACUGCGAAAGCAUUUGCCAAGGAUGUUUUUCAUUGAUCAAGAACGAAAGUACGGGGAUCGAAGAUGAUCAGAUACC
rnacentral:rRNA from 1 species